GACGAACGCUGGCGGCGUGCUUAGCACAUGCAAGUCGAACGAAGAGCGAUGGAAGCUUGCUUCUAUCAAUCUUAGUGGCGAACGGGUGAGUAACGCGUAAUCAACCUGCCCUUCAGAGGGGGACAACAGUUGGAAACGACUGCUAAUACCGCAUACGAUCUAACCUCGGCAUCGAGGAUAGAUGAAAGGUGGCCUCUACAUGUAAGCUAUCACUGAAGGAGGGGAUUGCGUCUGAUUAGCUAGUUGGAGGGGUAACGGCCCACCAAGGCGAUGAUCAGUAGCCGGUCUGAGAGGAUGAACGGCCACAUUGGGACUGAGACACGGCCCAGACUCCUACGGGAGGCAGCAGUGGGGAAUCUUCCGCAAUGGACGAAAGUCUGACGGAGCAACGCCGCGUGAGUGAUGACGGCCUUCGGGUUGUAAAGCUCUGUUAAUCGGGACGAAAGGCCUUCUUGCGAAUAGUGAGAAGGAUUGACGGUACCGGAAUAGAAAGCCACGGCUAACUACGUG
rnacentral:rRNA from 1 species